rnacentral:rRNA from 1 species
GACGAACGCUGGCGGCGUGCUUAACACAUGCAAGUCGAACGGUGAAGCGCCUUCCUUUUUGGUGGGUGUGGAUGAGUGGCGAACGGGUGAGUAACACGUGAGUAACCUGCCCCCUUCUUCUGGAUAACCGCAUGAAAGUGUGGCUAAUACGGGAUAUUCUGGGUCUGUCGCAUGAUGGGUCUGGGAAAGAUAUUGUUUCGGUGGGGGAUGGGCUCGCGGCCUAUCAGCUUGUUGGUGGGGUGAUGGCCUACCAAGGCGGUGACGGGUAGCCGGCCUGAGAGGGUAGACGGUCACACUGGGACUGAGACACGGCCCAGACUCCUACGGGAGGCAGCAGUGGGGAAUAUUGCACAAUGGGCGCAGGUGUGAUGCAGCGACGCCGCGUGAGGGAUGGAGGCCUUCGGGUUGUGAACCUCUUUCGCCAGUGAAGCAGGCCUGCCUCGUUUGUGGGUGGGUUGACGGUAGCUGGAUAAGAAGCGCCGGCUAACUACGUG